ACGAACGCUGGCGGCGUGCUUCACACAUGCAAGUCGCACGGGCCCGCCCCUGUUUUUGGGGGUGGGUUGAGUGGCGAACGGGUGAGUAUCACGUGAGUAACCUGCCCCCUGCUCCUGGAUAACUGCUUGAAAGGGCGGCUAAUACGGGGUGUGCCGGCUGGUCCGCAUGGGCCUGGUCGGGAUAGUUUCAUCUUCGGGUGUUUCGGUGGGGGAUGGGCUCGCGGCCUAUCAGCUUGUUGGUGGGGUGAUGGCCCACCAAGGCGGUGACGGGUAGCCGGCCUGAGAGGGUGGGCGGCCACACGGGGACUGAGACACGGCCCAGACUCCUGCGGGAGGCAGCAGUGGGGGGUAUUGCACAAUGGGCGGAAGCCUGAUGCAGCGACGUCGCGUGAGGGAUGGAGGCCUUCGGGUUGUGAACCUCUUUCUCCGGUGGGGAAGGCCCUGUCCGUUGCGGCGGGGUUGACGGUAGCCGGGGAUGAAGCGCCGGCUAACUACGUG
rnacentral:rRNA from 1 species